CAUAGCUUAGACUUGCUGGCGUUCCUUUCCCUCUGGCUAGCACUCUUUCAUACUUACGCCACCCGUCUCCCCUGCUGUUAACGUGUAUGUUUCAGUUAGCAGGUCUGAGUAGGAUGCAUUGCAGCCCAGUUUAUCCUGGAUCCCUGGAGAGGGCCCAUAUGUCACUGUACUGUUUACAUUUGGUGCCAUCACUUCCGGCUUGCAGUUUCAGCUUGGAAUCCUUUAUGCAGAUGAUUGAAACAUCUGCCCCCUCAUGGUUCAAAGGUGAACUGCGCCAGAUACUACUGUACUGUACACCAAAGCUGGAUGGUUGUGCUGGUGUAAGUUAGGAUUUCCUGAAUUCUGAUAAAAAUAACUGCAUUGAUUACAUUAUUUUCUGUGACUUCUUGAACAUUAGACAUUCUAUAAACAGUACACCAAUUAAAUUCUGCCUUGUUUACAGGUUACAGUAUUUGCAAGGACCAACACACACCACUUCUGCUCGUAAGUAGGUAUCUGGUAGGAGUCUGGUUUAAAUGAAUGUGAGCGCAUGGAGACGAAAAGGCCUUGUGGGAGUUGGAUGGCUUUGUGGAUAAUGAGAACUACAGUUUCCUCCACCACUAUUCUUCUGUAUGAACCCCAGGACACCGCUUCAACCUGCAGUGAUAAUCACGCCGGAGGCGACCACAGCUGACACACAGCAGUAAAUAGGGGAAUAAAAGUCCGCUCCUGCAGACACCCGGACCUAAGAUCUAUAGUGUUCAGAUUUAGGUUUACUGCACCCAGCACAACUUCUGUACACAAACAGGCAGAUCAGAGAGCAUAGAUGUGUGAUUACUGGAUGUGGAUGUUUGUGUGUGGGCACCGGGUGAAAUAGAGAAGCAAAUAUAACUCAAAGAGUCGUCUGAACAUGACUUGCUGAUGGGCUGUGUGUUUGUCCCCAGUAAAUAGGCAAAGCUAUGUUUCAGCUGAGCCACAUUAAAGAGUCACCCGUGUAUAUGUACUGCUGAUAUAAUUAUUUACUCUUCUUCUGUGCAAAGGUGAGUUUAUUGAGGAGACCAAGGAGCGAGAAUAUCAAUGAGUGUGCUUUUGUAUGUGUAUGGAUGUUUUACACACUUAGAAAGAAUGAGUAAUAUAAGGCUGUGAUUUAGCUUUUUUACUUUGUAACAAUUUGAAUAUGAAUGUCUUUAUCAUGUAUUGGGCAUGAAUGAAUGAAACUGAAAUUAUUUUUAAUUUUUAUUUAUUUAUUUUUAUUACAUUUUUGCAGACAUGUAAAGGGUAUUACAUCAGUUACAAAAUGAGACAGGAUGUCUGGUAAGAGGAAAAGCAGAAAACAAAACAAACAAACAAACAAAAAACACCCACAACCCUCCCCAAGGGUCAACAUAGCAACACUAAGGAGAAAAAAAUACAGUCUAGUCGAGUAGUCCCCUGAUAAAAGUCUAAACAGAAGAUUCAGAAGUCACAGUAAGGUUCUCAAUAGUAGUAAUCGGGCUCCCGAUUUUGUAAAAGGAUCCUUUGUAAGAGUGGCUUAUUUUUUCAAGGAGGAUGCAUUGCAAUACCUCUCGUAUCCAAUCCUCAUGUGAUGGUGGAGAGGCAUGUUUCCAUUUAAAGAGGAUGACACACCUAGCCAACAAAGUGGUAAAGGCAAUGACGCAGUGCACUGUAGAUUGUGCAGCUAAAGCUGGGGGAAGCCCAAACAAGACAUUCAAUGCGUUUGGGACAAUGGUGGUGUCCGAUCAGUAGUCCAUUAGCAUCGGGCAAGAUCAGAACAUUAUGAAGAUGAUCAGCUGGAGAUUGUUUACAUCUGUUGCAGACAUCACUUCUGUUAGGAAAUAUUUUAGCCAGUUUAGCGUUACUAAAGUGAGCUCUGUGAAGGACUUUACAUUGUAUUAGAGCAUGGCUAGCACAGAUAGAAGAAUGAAUUGAACUAAGAAUGUUCUUUCACUGGUCCUCAGAUUUGUUGACACCUAAAUCCUGCAUAUUGCUUUUCUAGUUUCAUUUUUGGUCACAGUAAAAUGGAUCCAUUAAAAUGAGUGAACCUUGUGAGGGACAUCAUAUUUGCUAUUCAUCUUCCAUGCAAAUAAUUGUAGCUUCUCUGUGUUGAUGCUCAUAUCCAGUAAACAGAUUUGACUCUGGUUCCACUCUGGUUCUGCUUUAGGCCUGUGUGUAGGCUGUUUGACCCACUUUUGGUGUUUCUCCUCCAGGUUUGAUGUGGGCAAGAGUGCUGGUGCCCGUUCCAGCUGUGGUACACUAUUUAGCCCCAGGGCUUGCUUAGAAAGGGUAAUUGGAUCUGGGUGUUAAUCUGUGCGAUACAUCUAGAGCAGUCCACUGUCCCACUGACAGUGAGAAACUCAUUCAGGCAUUUGACUGCUGCAGGAGUGUUUUGGCUGGCUUACCCUGUGAAAUGCUGACUCGUACCAGACUGAGGAUUCACAUAACUCUGGCACUUAAAUUCCUUUUUUGGCUACUUGUAUUUUUUAGAUUGAUUUCAGGAUUGUCGUCUUCAUUUUUAAAUGUCUUCUUGGUGCUAGCCCUACAUACCUUAACAAAUUAUUGCAAAAUAUACUAAAGAUAGAUCACUGGGUUCAUCCAACUGCUAUUUGUAUCUAAAACAUGGCUAAACAGUAGAAAAUCAGCAUUUAGCCACUAUGGUGCUAUGCUUUGGAGCUCUGUCCCUGAUGAUUUCUGUUAAGAUGUGUCAAUUAACAAAUUUUUAAGUAUAUGAAAGCACACUUUCAGAUAUAUCGAAGAGGUCAAGGUUUAGCUUUACUUGAUGGUUGCACCACUUGACAGUUUUGUGAUUUCGAGGAUUUCCUUAACUUAAUUCAGUUCUCUUCAUGUAUUUCAAAAUAAUAUAUUACA
rnacentral:lncRNA from 12 species